rnacentral:rRNA from 1 species
GACGAACGCUGGCGGCGUGCUUAACACAUGCAAGUCGAACGGAAAGGCCCUGCUUUUGUUGGGCUCUCGAGUGGCGAACGGGUGAGUAACACGUGAGUAACCUGUCCCUGACUUUGGGGUAACUUUAGGGAACUCGGGCUAUUACACCAGAUGAGAUCCUGCUCCAUGGUGUGGGUUGGUAAAUUUCGGCGGUUGGGGAUGGACUCGCUGCUUAUCAGCUUGUUUGUGGGGUAGUGGCUUACCAAGGGUUUGACGGGUAGGCGGCCUGCGAGGGUGACCGGCGACCAUGGGACUGAGAUAGGCAGCAGAAUGCUACGUGAGGCAGCAGUGGGGAAUAUUGCGCAGUGGGCGGAAGUGAGAUGCAGCGACGCCGCGUGCGGGAUACCGGGUUACGAGUUGUAAACCGCUUUCGCCUGAGACGAACAGUGAGUGACGGUAAUGGGUAAAAAAGCCCCGGCUAACUACGUG